rnacentral:rRNA from 1 species
UGGUGGAGUGAUUUGUCUGCUUAAUUGCGAUAACGAACGAGACCUUAACCUGCUAACUAGUCCGCAUUGCUUUGGCAGUAUGCCGACUUCUUAGAGGGACUAUCGGCUCAAGCCGAUGGAAGUUUGAGGCAAUAACA